rnacentral:rRNA from 1 species
UACGUAGGGAGCAAGCGUUGUUCGGAUUUACUGGGCGUAAAGGGCGCGUAGGCGGCGCGGUAAGUCACUUGUGAAAUCUCUGAGCUUAACUCAGAACGGCCAAGUGAUACUGCAGUGCUAGAGUGCAGAAAGGGCAAUCGGAAUUCUUGGUGUAGCGGUGAAAUGCGUAGAUAUCAAGAGGAACACCUGAGGCGAAGGCGGGUUGCUAGGCUGACACUGACGCUGAGUGCGCGAAAGCCAGGGGAGCAAACAGG